rnacentral:rRNA from 1 species
UACGGAGGAUGCGAGCGUUAUCCGGAAUGAUUGGGCGUAAAGGGUGCGCAGGCGGUCCGGAAAGUCAGCGGUAAAAGCCCGGGGCUCAACCCCGGCCCGCCGUUGAAACUGGCAGUCUCGAGUUGGAGAGAAGUAUGCGGAAUGCGUGGUGUAGCGGUGAAAUGCAUAGAUAUCACGCAGAACUCCGAUUGCGAAGGCAGCUUACUAAGCCAUAACUGACACUGAAGCACGAAAGCGUGGGGAGCAAAUAGG